rnacentral:rRNA from 1 species
AAUGAACGCUGGCGGUAUGCCUAAUACAUGCAAGUCGAACGGCCGCACAGUAAGAUCUCGCUCUUACUGUUGGCGAGUGACGGACGGGUGAGGAAUACAUCGGAAUCUACUUUGUCUUGGAUGAUAACGUAGAGAAACUGACGCUAAUACCGCAUACUACCUACGGCUUAAAUCAGAGGUGCUUCGGAGCUUGCGCGAUUGAAUGAGCCGAUGUCGGAUUAGCUAGUUGGUUUGGUAAAGGCCCACCAAGGCGACGAUGCGUAGCUGGGCUGAGAGGAUGAUCGGCCACACUGGAACUGAGACACGGUCCAGACUCCUACGGGAGGCAGCAGUGGGGAAUCUUGGACAAUGGGCGAAAGCCUGACCGAGCAAUGCCGCGUGGGUGAAGAAGGUCUUCGGGUUGUAAAGCCCUUUUGUUGGGAAAGAAAAGCAGUAGAUUAAAACGUCGAUAUUCUGACGGUACCCAAACAGAAAGCAACGGCUAACUACGUG